UACGGAGGGAGCUAGCGUUAUUCGGAAUUACUGGGCGUAAAGCGCACGUAGGCGGCUUUGUAAGUUAGAGGUGAAAGCCUGGAGCUCAACUCCAGAAUUGCCUUUAAGACUGCAUCGCUUGAAUCCAGGAGAGGUGAGUGGAAUUCCGAGUGUAGAGGUGAAAUUCGUAGAUAUUCGGAAGAACACCAGUGGCGAAGGCGACUCACUGGACACGUAUUGACGCUGAGGUGCGAAAGCGUGGGGAGCAAACAGG
rnacentral:rRNA from 1 species